GUUGUCCGGAGUUACUGGGCGUAAAGCGUGCGCAGGCGGUUGUGCAAGACAGAUGUGAAAUCCCCGGGCUUAACCUGGGAAUUGCAUUUGUGACUGCACGGCUAGAGUGUGUCAGAGGGGGGUAGAAUUCCAAGUGUAGCAGUGAAAUGCGUAGAUAUGUGGAGGAAUACCGAUGGCGAAGGCAGCCCCCUGGGAUAACACUGACGCUCAUGCACGAAAGCGUGGGGAGCAAACAGG
rnacentral:rRNA from 1 species